CCCUCUCUGAAACUCUAUGCUACUAUGGCAGCAUAAUGAGAAUUCUCAGAAGUAGUCAAAACUAACAUGACUUUCUUUGUGUUCCAUCUGAGGCACAUGGCAUACAAUGCUUGAGGCUUUAUCUCUAUGUCAUUUCCUACCCACCCAUUUCUAACCAUUCUUCAUUUCUCAAACAUUCCUCUGCUACUCUCUGAAUUAGCCAGAGCUUUCCCAGGAGCCAGUCUUCCCAGUUUCAUUAUGAUGGAACAUCACCUGAAACCUUGAAAGUAUAUGUUCCUUCUGUUCAGAAAGAGCUACGUAUAAAGCUCAAAGAUACUGAAAGGUGACAUCAUAGCCUUUCUCACAGACGUACCGAUCUUGAAGGAUUAGUUUCUCCAUGUAAUGAAUGCUUCCCUCUGCAUGAACACUUUCAAAGGCUGUUCUGUUCCAUCAUUGUCCUCUGAAAUCACUCAAGGCAGAAGGCACACCGUCCAGACUGGAAGAAGGCCUGGCAGUAGCCAGAUCUAAGGGAGAAGCAACUGAGAGAGAGGUCACUCAUAAAACUACUGAGACGUCAUUUGAACCCCUGGAUCAAGCCCACAUGGAACAUUUUUGUUGAAUAAACUAGUACAUUUCUUUUUAUCACAAAACUCAUCUGGAUGGCUUUCCUGUUUGCAGAAGGAAUCCUAAUAGUGCAGAGAUGUACCACUGAGGACCAGCAGCUGGGUGACUCAGCUGAGGUCACGCAAUCAGUCCUUCCCGUGGGCGUCAGUCCUCAACCGGUGCUAUGUUCCAUACCAUUGUCCUGGGAGUCAAAUGGUAAAGGGAUUAUAAAACCAUGCUGAAUUUCCCCCCCCCUUUCCUCCUCAUAUAGUUCUUCUCCACAACAGGAAAUUCCAAAAGACCAAU